GCUGCACAUGUGAAGUGUUAGUUUUUUGCAGGGUCACAUGGACAAGAAAGCCUCCUGUGCCCCACCUAACAUCAGAUUUCUGUUUUAGGUUCUACUCAGGUAUGACAUGACCCUGUAGAGAUUGCUUCUUGCUAAACUCAGCUGCAACAGUCUACAAUUUCUAGUACCAUGAACUUCAGAUGUAUAUGCUGAACAGAUUGUUUACUCAUUCCUGGGAGCUGUGUUCACAAUGAGUGGAAUCACUUCGACGUCUCCUGUUUGUUUGGUUUGGUGUUUGCUGUGGUCAGGAAGUACCUGCCCUCCCAGAGACUGCCCCAGGUUGGAUUUUUUAAAGUUGGCUUUGCAGAUCUUAGGUGGGAUCAUGAGUGGGGCUCUUCCUUGUAUAUUUAUAUCUAAAUGUUGAACACAUGAUAACUCUUAGCAGCCCAGAAAAUUGCCUGAGCUCUCAGUGUCAUAUGCAUAAGCGUCACAUGUAUUGGAGAAGCCUGAACCUUCUUACUGGUCAGACUAGGGACAUGGGGUCAAACCACAUGGUGGCUGAGUGUGGAAUGGGGGUUAAUAAGCAUUCAUUCUGGUCUGACCUUUUGGGAGUUUCUUUUUCCCAUCUGCAGAAGAAGAGGUUGCAUUAGAUGAAAUGAAAACUCAUGCCAACUCAAGUGCUAUAAUUUCACUUGGAUCUCUGGAUCUAGACAUGGAAACUGCUCCUUGUACCAAACACUACUGCCAUCUUUUCGGGCCACAAAAUGUCCGGUUUCAACCUGCUCUGGAGCAUCGGGUGCCAGGAUGGCUUACAAUUUCGUGGAGAGAAAUUGUUCAAGUAAUUAAACAAAAAUCAUCAAAAAUCAGCCCUCGGGUUAUUCAGAGCAAUCUAUCUACCCGCAGAAGACACUGACAGAAAAUCUUAAAUUCUUCUUCUUAAGACACCUACCUCAUACACAAAGAUAAGUGUAUUUAAUCUACUUUGUAUCCUGCUUUAUUUCAUAUAACAUUAUAUUCUAAACAUUUUCAAUAUUUUGACAAAUUAUGAUAAUCAAUUUAAAAGGGUACAUAAUACAUAAAGUAUUUUAAUUUACAUAUAGCAUCAUACCUAACAGAUAUAAAAAUGUUGGUCUA
rnacentral:lncRNA from 1 species